UUAAUAAUUUAUAUAAAAUAUUUUGAUGAAUAUUUAUAUAAUAUUAACAUAAUUCAUAUUACUAUAUUUUUUAGUAUAUGAAAUUUUACUUUGAGAAAAUUAGAGUGCUUAAAGCAGGCAUAUGCCUUGAAUACUCCAGCAUGGAAUAAUAUUAAAGAUUUUUAUCUUUCUUAUUGGUUCUAAGAUAAGAAUAAUGAUUAAUAGGGACAGUUGGGGGCAUUUGUAUUUAACAGUCAGAGGUGAAAUUCUUAGAUUUGUUAAAGACAAACUAAUGCGAAAGCAUUUGCCAAGGAUGUUUUCAUUAAUCAAGAACGAAAGUUAGGGGAUCGAAGACGAUCAGAUACCGUCGUAGUCUUAACCAUAAACUAUGCCAACUAGAGAU
rnacentral:rRNA from 1 species